GCCUUUAGUUGAUGUAAUUGUUACAAAAGUAGGUAUCAAUAGACAACACUUCAAAAACAUUGAAAGAGCAAAGUACCGAGUACUCAUAAAACUCCAUUGAAAUAUUAAAAAAUAUAUUAUUGAAGUCAUAGUUCCUGUAACGGGUCGCAAUCAAGGGUUGACGAAUGGCGUUAAAAAUAUCCUUGCAACGUCAUGUAAGCGUAGGAGCAAUUUUAGAGGGGAAGUAAAUUGGUUUCUUGAACCCUGUACAAGACGACAUUGAAGGUGCAACUUUGGAGAGGAUUUCUGAUUUUUUGGGCAAUUGAACGCAACCAAGGACUCGCAAAGCGUCUUGAUGAAACCGGUGCAGGAAUAUCCUGAUCGCAUCCGUGACGUUCCUUUUAUAUGUUACACUGGGACAUUUUAUCUUUGUUUUAUCUUUCAGAAUGUUCAACAAUUUUGAAACAGAUGUAAAUUAUGGAGACAUCGAAGUGAAAAUCUAACGAACACAAAGAACAGACUUCGAAGAAGAAAAAUAAGAGAAAAGAGGGGAGAAUGAAGGAAUGAACCCUACAAAAGAAAAAAGGACUCUGCUACGUCCGACUAGUUCGCUGACUCCAGAUGCGAAUGAAAGUACCGUAUCAAACGUGUCCAUUUAUUGAGGAAAAAAGGAUUUGCCGAGAGAUUUAUCCUACACCUUGUAUCCAGAGUCGAUAAAUCGAACAGUUAUAAAGAACCAGUCCUACAGGUGAUCAAAUUGUUCGCGUUUUAAUCU